rnacentral:rRNA from 1 species
GCUUAUAAACUAUCACGACGCCCAAUAAGUCGUGGAUUGGGUUUUGCCAGCUGGCGUGAUUUCCCCUGCUUUCGUCAGAUUGCGUGGGGUGCCAGAUCUAUGGCGUUUCCCUAAUGUACCGAGCACGCCACAUUUUGCGCAGGAUAUCUGCGGGGAUGYGGUGAUAGAGUCGUGGCUCAAUUUGGUAAUGCGCGCUCUAUCACUCUUCCCUUGUGCAGGCACCGGCCGUGGGUGUUGCGGAAAACAGAGCACUUUGUGCUACUUUUCC